CAAAAGCACAGUCCCAGCUUCUGCUAAGCAUCUGUGGAGGAAAAGGACCCACUGAAGCAAGAUUUCCUAGGGCCUUGAAGUCAAGGCCCUUAGUCCAGGCUCCUGCUUACCAACUCUGUGAACCCAGGUGACCACUUUGAGACAGGAUGUCUGCAUGGAUUCAGGCAAGUUACUCUCUGUGCCUCAGGUCCAUCCUCUGUGAAAUGGGAAGCAUGAACAGCAUAUGUGCUUUAUUGGCCCUGAGGUGCCAGAGUGAUGGUGCAUGUCACCUUCCCAUUGUGCCUGAGGCUCAGCAAGGAUUCUGUGCUACGAGCCACAUCUGACCUCUUCCUUCCAGCAGCAGCAAGGCCUGGACUAUCUCUGAGGGCUGGCUGGCUGACAACUCCCGGGUCACAGCACCUCAUCAGGCACACCAGCCAUUCCACAGCAUCUUCGCAGCAGCC
rnacentral:lncRNA from 1 species